GGGGAUGAUCGGUUUCGACACUGUAGUAGUGCGUGGAUGAAGCGGGUCGAGGAUGCAGAGUUAUCUCGUUAACGCCCUCUGCAAAACUAUAGGUGCCAAAUCUAAGCGCGCCGACUUCGCCCUAGCUGCAUAAGCUAGCCCCGAAGUCCGUCUAACUGGGUUCGAUUCCGCCCCAGACCUAGACGCCAUUUAGGAAUCUAGCUGGAUGGUAGCGCCUAGGUGCUGUCCGGGACUUUUUACCUGGGCUGGGUCUGUCUGCAUAGUGGCUUCAGACAAAUGCAGGGGCCGAGAAAACGUCUUUUGAAGCUACGCCCGUAGAAUCUCCACAAUCACUGCCGUGGACGGGGGUUCAAUUCCCCCCAUCUCCAC
rnacentral:tmRNA from 1 species